rnacentral:piRNA from 1 species
UGGAAGAAGUUUCUGUCUGCGAAUAGACACA